GUUCCCAAUGAUGUUUAUCAUUCUUUACCAUGCUAAUGCUGAGAUACUUUGAUGAAUGUUCAAUGUGUAUCCUGAGGGAACU